AGAAUUCUGAGUUUUGAGGUUGCUUCAGUGAACAUUCAACGCUGUCGGUGAGUUUGGAAUUAAAAUCAAAACCAUCGACCGUUGAUUGUACCCUAUGGCUAACCAUCAUCUACUCCAUGGUG
rnacentral:precursor_RNA from 1 species